UUUAUGGAGAGUUUGAUCCUGGCUCAGGAUGAACGCUGGCGGCGUGCCUAAUACAUGCAAGUCGAGCGAACGGACGAGAAGCUUGCUUCUCUGAUGUUAGCGGCGGACGGGUGAGUAACACGUGGAUAACCUACCUAUAAGACUGGGAUAACUUCGGGAAACCGGAGCUAAUACCGGAUAAUAUUUUGAACCGCAUGGUUCAAAAGUGAAAGACGGUCUUGCUGUCACUUAUAGAUGGAUCCGCGCUGCAUUAGCUAGUUGGUAAGGUAACGGCUUACCAAGGCAACGAUGCAUAGCCGACCUGAGAGGGUGAUCGGCCACACUGGAACUGAGACACGGUCCAGACUCCUACGGGAGGCAGCAGUAGGGAAUCUUCCGCAAUGGGCGAAAGCCUGACGGAGCAACGCCGCGUGAGUGAUGAAGGUCUUCGGAUCGUAAAACUCUGUUAUUAGGGAAGAACAUAUGUGUAAGUAACUGUGCACAUCUUGACGGUACCUAAUCAGAAAGCCACGGCUAACUACGUGCCAGCAGCCGCGGUAAUACGUAGGUGGCAAGCGUUAUCCGGAAUUAUUGGGCGUAAAGCGCGCGUAGGCGGUUUUUUAAGUCUGAUGUGAAAGCCCACGGCUCAACCGUGGAGGGUCAUUGGAAACUGGAAAACUUGAGUGCAGAAGAGGAAAGUGGAAUUCCAUGUGUAGCGGUGAAAUGCGCAGAGAUAUGGAGGAACACCAGUGGCGAAGGCGACUUUCUGGUCUGUAACUGACGCUGAUGUGCGAAAGCGUGGGGAUCAAACAGGAUUAGAUACCCUGGUAGUCCACGCCGUAAACGAUGAGUGCUAAGUGUUAGGGGGUUUCCGCCCCUUAGUGCUGCAGCUAACGCAUUAAGCACUCCGCCUGGGG
rnacentral:rRNA from 1 species